rnacentral:rRNA from 1 species
GUGGGGAAUAUUGGACAAUGGGCGAAAGCCUGAUCCAGCAAUGCCGCGUGAGUGAUGAAGGCCUUAGGGUUGUAAAGCUCUUUUACCAGGGAUGAUAAUGACAGUACCUGGAGAAUAAGCUCCGGCUAACUCCGUGCCAGCAGCCGCGGUAAUACGGAGGGAGCUAGCGUUGUUCGGAAUUACUGGGCGUAAAGCGCACGUAGGCGGUUACUCAAGUCAGAGGUGAAAGCCCGGGGCUCAACCCCGGAACUGCCUUUGAAACUAGGUAACUAGAAUCUUGGAGAGGUCAGUGGAAUUCCGAGUGUAGAGGUGAAAUUCGUAGAUAUUCGGAAGAACACCAGUGGCGAAGGCGACUGACUGGACAAGUAUUGACGCUGAGGUGCGAAAGCGUGGGGAGCAAACAGGAUUAGAUACCCCGGUAGUCC